rnacentral:rRNA from 1 species
UACGGGGGGGGCAAGCGUUGUUCGGAAUUACUGGGCGUAAAGGGCUCGUAGGCGGCCAACUAAGUCAGACGUGAAAUCCCUCGGCUUAACCGGGGAACUGCGUCUGAUACUGGAUGGCUUGAGGUUGGGAGAGGGAUGCGGAAUUCCAGGUGUAGCGGUGAAAUGCGUAGAGAUCGGGAAGAACAUCAGUGGCGAAGGCGGCCUGCUGGGCUGUUGCUGACGCUGAGGCGCGACAGCGUGGGGAGCAAACAGG